rnacentral:rRNA from 1 species
UAGCGUAGGGUGCAAGCGUUUGUCCGGGAAUUAUUGGGCGUAAAGAGCUCGUAGGCGGUCUGUCGCGUCUGCCUGUGAAAACUCGGGGCUUAACCCCGGGCCUGCAGUGGGUACGGGCAGACUAGAGUGCGGUAGGGGAGAGCGGAAUUCCCGGUGUAGGCGGUGAAAUGCGUAGAGAGUCGGGAAGAAGGCCGGUGGCGAAGGCGGCUCUCUGGAACGUUCCUGACACUGAGGCACGAAAGCGUGGGGAGCGAACGAGG